rnacentral:tRNA from 1 species
GGAGGGGUGGCCGAGCGGUUCAUGGCACCGCACUUGAAAUGCGGCAAGGUUAACGCCUUCGGAGGUUCGAAUCCUCUCCCCUCCGCCA